rnacentral:rRNA from 1 species
AGCAGCCGCGGUAAUUCCAGCUCCAAUAGCGUAUAUUAAAGUUGUUGCAGUUAAAAAGCUCGUAGUUGAAUUUCGGGAUUUGUCAGUUGGUCGGGCUUCACUGUCCGUAUUGACUUGAUGGAUUCUUACCUUCUGAAUAACCAGCAUGCUAUUAGUAGUGCGUGGGAAGCAGACCUAUUAACCUUGAAAAUUAGAAGUGCUUAAAGCGAGCUAGUGCUUGAAUAGAUUAGCAUGGAAUAAUAAAAUAGGACGGCAUGGUUCUAUUUUGUUGGUUUCUAGGAUCACCGUAAUGAUUAAUAGGGAUAGUUGGGGGCAUUAGUAUUCAAUUGUCAGAGGUGAAAUUCUUGGAUUUAUUGAAGACUAACUUCUGCGAAAGCAUUUGCCAAGGAUGUUUUCAUUAAUCAAGAACGAAAGUUAGGGGAUCGAAGACGAUCAGAUACCGUCGUAGUCUUAACCAUAAACUAUGCCGACUAGGAAUCGGACGAUGUUAAUUUUAUAAUGACUCGUUCGGCACCUUACG